GCUUCCAGGAAAAGCCUCUAAGCAUCAGGUAACAUUAAAUCGUACCCCAAACCGACACAGGUGGUCAGGUAGAGAAUACCAAGGCGCUUGAGAGAACUCUGCUGAAGGAACUAGGCAAAAUGGUGCCGUAACUUCGGGAGAAGGCACGCUGGUGUGUAGGUGAAGUCCCUGCGGAUGGAGCUGAGACCAGUCGAAGAUACCAGCUGGCUGCAACUGUUUAUUAAAAACAUAGCACUCUGCAAACACGAAAGUGGACGUAUAGGGUGUGACGCCUGCCCGGUGCCGGAAGGUUAAUUGAUGGGGUU
rnacentral:rRNA from 1 species